rnacentral:lncRNA from 8 species
GACUGUGAUGGAUGGGUUCAGGAGGACAGGUAUCUUUCUAUUUGACCACCAUGUCAUGGCUAGAUCCGUAUGGUGUGGGAGGGGAAAGAUGAGGCCCGAGGUUGGUUCUGCUGGACCCUGUGAUAAAGGAAAAACGACCCGAACUUGUGACAGACAAGUGUGACAAACAGGUCUUAUGACAAUAAGAAGGCAUUAAAGGCAAGUUCUCUUUAAUAAUUACUUUGAGUCUCGGAAUAUCCCGUGAUUAAUUUACACAAAAUGAAUAUAACAUCAUGUCACCAUUGUAUUGGUACAUGUUGAUCUUCUGAUUCACAGGUGGAAUCUGACGCCAAACCGGUGCUGCCUGGGUUAGUUCUGCCAGUUUCUCUGCCAUCAGAGUCUGUUGUGAAGAAAGAGGAGAUAUUAGAUGUGGUGGUUAAAAAAAUAGGAGGAAAUUAAGGAGGAGUUGAAUGUCGUCAGACAUAUCUGCGAUAGACCCAAAUAUUUAUAAUAAUGCCAAUAAUCAACAUUAGAUGAUCAUUAUCAAGGAAAGACUGUCAUGCUCCACUUUUCAUAUACCCACCCAGAUCACAAGAGCCAGCUAUAGUUCAAUUGAAGUGUGUUUGUCAUUUCUAUUAUGUUAGCAGUUUGUAAUUAGAAGUUUUACAUUGAAGCCUUCAUCAUUUUUCUGUUCUGAUGACUUCAUUGCAGCAUUUUCCAAGAGGUCACAGCCAUGACUCCAUUGAGAGAUGGGAUGAGACUUCGGGCCCUGACGAUAUAUCGGAAGCGUCCCAGGAGAUAACAGACGAUUCUUCAACCUUAUCAGACGGCCCUGAUGAAUUGUUGGACAUCAGAUUUAGAAUAUGUUGACAAAGAAGGAGAGUUACCUGAAACUUCACAAGCUGUGAGAGGAAAAGCAUCUUCAAAGUCACUGCUGCCAGAGAAACAGUCACCUCAUGGCGAAAUAUUUUUAAUUGCACUAUUGGGCCCAAUCGAAGUGUCUAACCACAGAAACACAGGCUUGGUGGAUGAGUCUGGUGACAGCUUAGACGACGAGCCAUUGGUUAAGAUGAUCAGGAAGCCUCCAACAGACUGCCAGCUGAGCGAGAGAGAAACACUGCUGAAAUACACAGACCUGGCGGAUGUGCAAAUCUACAAUAGAGUAAGAGGACAUAUAUCCAACGUUAUUAAAAUUGCCAGCUUUUACUUGGUUAAAAUCACAUGCUGCACACCAGAUUAUGUCAUCCUUCUCUCCGGAUGA